rnacentral:rRNA from 1 species
CCUACGGGAGGCAGCAGUGGGGAAUCUUGCGCAAUGGGCGAAAGCCUGACGCAGCAACGCCGCGUGCGGGAAGAAGGCUUUCGGGCUGUAAACCGCUUUCAGCAGGAACGAAAAUGACGGUACCUGCAGAAGAAGGAGCGGCCAACUAUGUGCCAGCAGCCGCGGUGAUACAUAGGCUUCAAGCGUUGUCCGGAUUUAUUGGGCGUAAAGAGUUCGUAGGCGGUCAAGUAAGUCGGGUGUGAAAAUUAUGGGCUCAACCCAGAGACGCCACCCGAUACUGCUUAACUUGAGUUCGAUAGGGGAGUGGGGAAUUCCUAGUGUAGCGGUGAAAUGCGCAGAUAUUAGGAGGAACACCGGUGGCGAAGGCGCCACUCUGGAUCGAUACUGACGCUGAGGAACGAAAGCAUGGGUAGCAAACAGGAUUAGAUACCCUGGUAGUCCAUGCCGUAAACGGUGGGCACUAGGUGUGGGUUUCUAUUAACGAAAUCCGCGCCGUCGCUAACGCAUUAAGUGCCCCGCCUGGGGAGUACGGUCGCAAGCUAAAACUCAAAUGAAUUGACGGCUGAGACGUGCGAGACGACGACGAGGAGAG